rnacentral:rRNA from 1 species
CAGUAGCCGCGGGAAUACGUAGGGGGCGAGCGUUGUCCGAAGUUACUGGGCGUAAAGAGCGCGUAGGCGGGUCUUUAAGUGAGGGGUGAAAGGUUCAGGGCUCAACCCGGACACUGCCUUUCAUACUGGAGACCUUGAGUGUGGGAGAGGCGAGUGGAAUGGUCGGUGUAGCGGUGAAAUGCGUAGAUAUCGAUCGGAACACCCAUGGCGAAGGCAGCUCGCUGGCCUAUAACUGACGCUGAGGCGCGAAAGCGUGGGGAGCAAACAGGAUUAGAUACCCCUGUAGUCCCUGUCUCUUAUA